rnacentral:rRNA from 1 species
UUAGAGUUUGAUCCUGGCUCAGGACGAACGCUGGCGGCGUGCUUAACACAUGCAAGUCGAACGAGAAUCUACUGAAAGAGUUUUCGGACAAUGGAUGUAGAGGAAAGUGGCGGACGGGUGAGUAACGCGUGAGGAACCUGCCUUGAAGAGGGGGACAACAGUUGGAAACGACUGCUAAUACCGCAUGACGCAUAGAGGUCGCAUGAUCUUUAUGCCAAAGAUUUAUCGCUUCAAGAUGGCCUCGCGUCUGAUUAGCUGGUUGGCGGGGUAACGGCCCACCAAGGCAACGAUCAGUAGCCGGACUGAGAGGUUGAACGGCCACAUUGGGACUGAGAUACGGCCCAGACUCCUACGGGAGGCAGCAGUGGGGAAUAUUGGGCAAUGGGCGCAAGCCUGACCCAGCAACGCCGCGUGAAGGAAGAAGGCUUUCGGGUUGUAAACUUCUUUUAAGAGGGAAGAGCAGAAGACGGUACCUCUAGAAUAAGCCACGGCUAACUACGUGCCAGCAGCCGCGGUAAUACGUAGGUGGCAAGCGUUGUCCGGAUUUACUGGGUGUAAAGGGCGUGCAGCCGGGUCUGCAAGUCAGAUGUGAAAUCCAUGGGCUCAACCCAUGAACUGCAUUUGAAACUGUAGAUCUUGAGUGUCGGAGGGGCAAUCGGAAUUCCUAGUGUAGCGGUGAAAUGCGUAGAUAUUAGGAGGAACACCAGUGGCGAAGGCGGAUUGCUGGACGAUAACUGACGGUGAGGCGCGAAAGUGUGGGGAGCAAACAGGAUUAGAUACCCUGGUAGUCCACACUGUAAACGAUGAAUACUAGGUGUGCGGGGACUGACCCCCUGCGUGCCGCAGUAAACACAAUAAGUAUUCCACCUGGGGAGUACGAUCGCAAGGU